UGAGGAAUAUUGGGCAAUGCCCGCAAGGGUGACCCAGCAACGCCGCGUGGAGGAUGAAUGUCGUAAGAUUGUAAACUCCUGUUAGAGGGGAAGAAUAGUACCGGUUGGACCGGUAUAUGACUGUACCCUCAGAGAAAGCCCCGGCUAACUACGUGCCAGCAGCCGCGGUAAUACGUAGGGGGCAAGCGUUGUCCGGAUUUACUGGGUGUAAAGGGCGCGCAGGCGGGAUAAAAAGUCAGUGGUGAAAUCCUACAGCUUAACUGUAGAACUGCCUUUGAUACUUUUAUUCUUGAGUUCGGGAGAGAGAGACGGAAUUCCAGGUGUAGUGGUGAAAUACGUAGAUAUCUGGAAGAACACCAGUUGCGAAGGCGGUCUCUUGGUCCGACACUGACGCUUAGGCGCGAAAGCGUGGGGAGCAAACA
rnacentral:rRNA from 1 species